CUACGGGGUGCAGCAGUGGGGAAUAUUGGACAAUGGGCGCAAGCCUGAUCCAGCCAUGCCGCGUGAGUGAUGAAGGCCCUAGGGUUGUAAAGCUCUUUCACCGGUGAAGAUAAUGACGGUAACCGGAGAAGAAGCCCCGGCUAACUUCGUGCCAGCAGCCGCGGUAAUACGAAGGGGGCUAGCGUUGUUCGGAUUUACUGGGCGUAAAGCGCACGUAGGCGGACUAUUAAGUCAGGGGUGAAAUCCCGGGGCUCAACCCCGGAACUGCCUUUGAUACUGGUAGUCUUGAGUCCGAGAGAGGUGAGUGGAAUUCCGAGUGUAGAGGUGAAAUUCGUAGAUAUUCGGAGGAACACCAGUGGCGAAGGCGGCUCACUGGCUCGAUACUGACGCUGAGGUGCGAAAGCGUGGGGAGCAAACAGGAUUAGAUACCCGGGUAGUC
rnacentral:rRNA from 1 species